AAAAAAACUCCAAUUUUCCGUCUAUAUUUCGGUGGCAAAGACGCGACUCUCUCUCGCUAGAUUUGUUGGAUCUCUUCCUACUCUUUAGUUUACAAACUCAGUGCGUUGUUUGAUAGAGACAUGGAUAGUAAGGAGCAAAGCGAGAGAUUGGCGAACAUUCAAGCUGAAUACGCCAAUUACUUGAUAGCAAAGUACUUCUCGGAUAAAGAUAUCUAUGGAGACUGGAUUAUAGAUUUCUUCAUCUGCAUGAAUAGAAAGUGAAUUGGAUAUGGAAUAAAAUGGAGCUUCAUUAUCUCCAAUGUUUGUUUUGUCAAAGUGAAAAUAGUAAACAGACUUUGCUUUUGAUGGAUGUUUGCUAAAUUUUGUUGGCAAAUUGAGAAAUAUGAUGUUUAUUGUAAUAAUCUGAUUAUAUUGUGGUUC